CUGCAAUCCAGGGCUUCAUUUUCCAGACAUGUAAUUAGUAUCACAGAAUUGUCUUUCAGGAGCUUAGAAUUCCUAUGACCUUAUUGGAGCAGGGGGUGGGAAACUACAAGGAAACUGACAUGAAGAUACAUAAUAACAGGAAGUAGGAGUAGCAAAAGGAAAAGGAGGAGGAGAAAGAGAAGGAAAGUAAAAGGAAACAGGCCAAUAUCCCCAGCUGCCCCCAACCCCUGCCCACCCUGGGAACACUCAUUUCACGGUCUCUGCUGUUUCUGCCCUCUGCUCCAGCAUCAACCCCCAGCUCCGUAUCUGUUGAAAAAUCAGAAGAUUCAGCAAUACUAGGCGCACCACCCCUGAUGAAAAAAUCCUCCUGGAUCCAGGAUGAAGCAAACUGCUUCACGAGAAGCCCUAGAGAAGAACACACAGGUAUGAGCAAAAUAUUUGAAUUCUGUCAUUUAAACUUUCAUCAUGAAAGAACCAUGCAGGCUGACUUUAAGCCUUUGCGUGUGCUGCUCCUGUUGACAGGCCGUUGACCACAGCUUUCUAUGUAUCUUUCCAUUUUGUUGUCAUUCUUCUAUUUGUUUUCAUGAAAGUAUGUUUGUCAAGGUAGGAGGUAGGAGGAUAGAAUACAUGUUAUCUUGUACUUUGCUGGCUUGAUUUGUUCCUUUGCAAUAUUUAGAUACACAAAAGAUGGACUUUUGUUUCUAUUGAGGCAGACCCAGUAAAGUUAGGGGCAAGUCUAGUGCUGAGCACCUAAAUGAAGAUUUAAAUAUUUGCUGACUGAUUGGUGUGUAACUGGAACAAAGGCAAAAGGAUUUUUAAAAAAAGGAUAUUUAAAAAUUUUGAAUUCCCGUUCACCCCAUUGCUUAGGUCUCAGCCUGAGUCUCAGGGUAAUCUCAGUGAAAUUCCCUGGCUGGGAUGACCAGGGCAGCUGGUUGGUUGUGAGUCAACAGGUAAUGUCUCAUUUGUGCUAACAAAAACCAUGUGACUACAUCCCCCAUGUCAAACCUCUGUAGUUGGGGGUCUCAUUGCCAAGUCUAUGGAAUUCUGCCUACCAUUUUAAGAAGUAGCUUAUUUGAGCAGUACCGAUUAUCUUUUAUUUCACACUUGUGAACUUAGGAAGCUCCUGGACCUGUUGACUCAAGAGAAUGUCAAAACUGACUUGAAAUCUUUCUCUCUAUAAAUCACAAUAGGAAAUUCUGUAUUAUCAUUGGAUAGCU
rnacentral:lncRNA from 13 species